CAGGGCAGCGUGUUUCCAUAGCCCAAGAUGAGGCUGGAGACUCCCAGGAGAUACAUUAUGCCACCCCUGUGUUCCGGGAGGUGGCACCAACAGAGCAAGAAGCCUGUAAUGAUUGUAAAACUGAAUGUGCUUAUUCUGAACUCAUCUUGUGAAAUUUAAAGAAAUAAACUACAUCUCAGGGUAAGAUGUUUUUUACGAAGCUGAUUUACACGAAGAAAAAACAAAACUCAAACCUU